rnacentral:lncRNA from 1 species
GAUUAGUGUUUUAACUGAACAACUUAAACCAACCACAAUCACGAGGCUGACAAAUAUUUGAAAAAAAAGACAAAAAUUGUUCCAACUCAGGCCCCACGUCCUUCUUGUUUAAUGUGUUUCACAUUGUCCCACACUCCUUCAUCACAAGCCACGCCACAAGCAGGACUCACAUUUAACCCUUCCUACAGGUGCUGCACUGUACUGUAUUGCAGUAUACCAUGAUAUGAACAGUACCAUAUUAAACAAACCAAAAAUACUCUUCAAAUUAUAUUUUAAAUUUCUUUAAUUAAAAUAAUAAAAAAUUAAAUUAAAUAUAUGUUAUUUAAUAAAAUAAAAAUCUAAAUACACUGUUGCCGACCUCUCAUGGUCCCCGCAUAACAACAUAUUUUAUACAGAAGUUUGGUGUCAGGGUCAAGCCGUGGAACUAUUUCUUGCAAAUAGGCUUCCAUUUAUUAUAUAUUUACGGUUAAAAAAUUGAUUGUAGAUCUACAGUGAACAGAAAUUUAUUUGUCAAUAAUAGUUGCGCCGUUGUGUAACCCUGACAAUAAUAAUUCUAGUGGUAUUAAAAUAUAGUUCAAAAAAUAUAGCGAUGAGCGACAGCCGGCGGCGGUGCACAAUAGAAAAAAUUAAUCUAAGUUAUUAAUUUAAUAUAAAUAAUAAAAAAAUAUAAAUGAGUCUUCUAUUAUUAAUUUAGUAUAAAUGUUAAGAUUUAAAAAAAAACUAUAUUAUAUAAGAGAGUCCACAAUACACCAAACAUUGUAUUAAUAAAAUAUAACAAAAUCCAGUCUAAUGCAAUACAAAAUACACCUAAAUUUGUUUAGAUUUAAAAUGUCAAAUAGGUGGCAAUGGUGAAUAAUUUCCAUAAAUGAUGCAAAGUAAUGAUGUAGCAUUUUUCACAGUUGUAAUGGGGUAAAAAAAGCCUUAACUUGACUAAAAUGAUGCAGUUUGCUCAUUGUUGGUACUUGAGUAGCUGCCUUAAGCUAUAAGGAUAUGAUCCUAAUCUCGAUAAGUGUCUCCAAGAGAAAAUAUUAACCUAAGCAUUAACUUCACUUUCAAAUUAACGAAGGUUAAAUCUUUGAGACAUAGAAAUACAAUUAACCAACUACUACAAGUUCAACGCCUGCAUUUAUGCCAAUGCAUAAUUAAAAUUUAGGGUUAUUAUCAUUUUACUACUUCAAAAAUUAUCAAAUAUCAAAUGACUACAACAAGUAUUGUCUCCUAUCAUUUUCCUACUAUAUCUUUAUAAAAAUAUCAUUUUACUACUUUUCCGUUACAACAAAUAUCAUUUAAAUACUUUUCCGUUACAACCGUUAGUUGACCAGUUAGUUGACUAACAAAAUACCAAAUUUACCCUUCAUGAUUAAAAAAAUAAUAAGACAAAUUUUUAAUCUAUAUAUCAUAAUUCCAGUAAAAAGAAUUAUGUUGGUAUUAUAUAUCCAUUUUAAUAAAUAUAUUAUAAAUUUAUUUUGUAAAUAAGUUUCAAGUAUUUUUUUUUAAUCAUGAAGGAUGAAAUUGGUAUUUUGUUAGUCAACUAACGGUUAUAACGAAAAAAGUAGUAAAAUGAUAUUUUUUUUAAGAUAUAGUAGGAAAAUGAUAGGAGACAAUACUUAUUGUAGUCAUUUGAUAUUUGAUAAUUUUUGAAGUAGUGAAAUGAUAAUAACCCUAAAAUUUAAAUUACCCAAUAAUAUCACGAUCACAACUACGGUGAGGGACUCACCAAUAUCAAAGAUUCAAGCACUCAACAGUGCAAAAUAUAAAGGGAGUAAGGUUACUUAUUCGCUAAUUUCUUUCAAAUGCUUUGUGUUUAAGAAACCUAGAAAACUUCUGAACGAGGCUUUGCAGAAAGGGACAUCCAUUCUGUAUGCAAGUCCAGCCAAAUAGGCUUUCAUGAUCAUGUCUAAUAACUACAAGUUUUAAGUGGCAUUGUUUGGUUAAUAUAUUCACACUGUGACGAGAAUCGCACGACAGAAGAAAAACCCGAUAGACUUAAGAGUAAAUUUCUUCAAGAAUUUUGCAGUAUUGAAUUAAUGUCUAGGUAUUUCAAUUUUUUAGAUUUGAAGAAUGAUUGUGUUUAAACAACCCAUAAUUAAUCUCUCUCUCCUCUCUCUUUUUCCCAUGUAAACCUCGACCAAAUUGACGAGGGGAAAUAGACAAUUUGGUUUGGGAAAAAAAAUUAUUCAAGAAUUAAUAUAUAUGAGUACAAAAUUAGAUAGAAGGAAAAAUCAUUACGCGUGAAGGAGAGAAAACCACCAUGCAAAUUAGACACAGCCAAACUAUAGUCUAUACGUGGGAAAUCCAUUGACAUCUCUAGAUAUCACCUGUGGAGCUGUAAAAGUCCGAGUAUAAUAUUGCAUAUAAUUGGAAUAAGAGUAUAUACUAAGACUUUAUUCACCCAAUCUAAUUCCACUCAACUUUAACAAUGAAGCAUCAAGAACACUAGUCUUGCGGCCGGCUUCCUUAAUUAAGAAUUAAGUUCAAAAUAAUAUUGACACAAUAUCAUCUUUGAGUUGACUAAACCAAUCCUCCAAAUCCAUUCUCUUCUUAUGAUUUUCCUGGAAUUCCUCAACUGUCUAUGAAUUGUGAAAGAUGAUCGGUUUGUCAUUUACUAUCCAUCGGUAAUAAUUUUCUCAUAACAAAGAAAAAGGACAAUGUCUUUUGUAACAGACAAUUCCAACCACUCAUUGUUACCCAAAAAUUUCAAAUCAAGAAACUAAUUCAUAAAUGAUAUAUAAACACACGCACAUGCAUAUAUAUAGAAAUACACAUGCAUAUAUAUAGAAAUGUUCUAGUUCGGGAUCUUGAACUUUGUUAUUUUUCGGAUUUUAACAAAGUUCAAGAUCCUGGAUCAAAUCAUUACUCAUAUUUAAUAGUGCAUGUGUGUGUAUACACACAACAAAAGUUUUGGAUACAACAAAAGUUCAUUUGAUGAAUAAAGAGUAAAAACUCAAAUAUUAAAAAAUAAAAAAUAAAAACUAAUCUAAAUACAAAACAAAUACAAAUAAUCCAGUUAAGGUACCUAGCUAAAUAGCAUGCCUGCAUAGGCAGUUAAUUUGCAUAUUCCUCGACCUAGAGCAGAAACUCUGCCCUUUGGUUUAAUCAUAAGUAAAAUUAAGUAGUUGAUGCGCGAGUUUCUCCCUCUGCUUUGUGAUAUGAUUAUAUCUCUUAUAGAUCUUAGUACCUCACAGUUAAUUGGACACCAAAGUUAACUAAAGACGCAUUUGGGGCAGCUGCUCCUCAUGCCUAUUCUAAGGGAAUAUUCCUCUAGAAUAUGGCUUGGGGGGCAGUUGCGCGAUGGCAGCGUAGCUGCCCCAAACGCGCUAUAAUUAAUGGCUACAAUUCAGUUCCAGAAAGAUAAAAUAUUAGGGUCAUGCUAUGUUACAACUAAUGAUUGAUUGCAAUUAACGCCACUCUAUAAUUUAUUGGCUAUACCCAGAGAGAAAUGAAAACUCUACAUUCAUCUUAUCUUUGUUUAAUAGCCCAAGGGCUUACUUAGUAUUGAGGUGAGGUUAUAAAAAAUUGUAGUGAUUAUUGUAUCUGGUAAAUCAUUGCUUAUAGACUAAAAGUUGAUGAUACUUGUAGACAUAAUUAUUAAAAUAUAUCAAAUAAUUGAGUAUUUAUAGUUAUUUUAGUCAAAUAAUAUUAAAUUAAAUUGAAAAAAAAAAAAACAACUGAGCCAAACCCCGGCUUACCCAUUUGGUUUAGCCGCCAAAGCCCAGCUGCUUGGCAGCUAAGCCGAACGAGGCUUAAUUCUCUCACUCAAGCCGUGAUUGCAAUUUAAUUUGGAUUAUAAAAACUCCCAACUCUUUUUAUUCAUUUUUGUCCAAACAUUAUUAUUCAAAUUGCACUGGGUGUCAUGACGGAAAUUUAUUAAUUAAAAAAUGUAUUGAGUCUUAUCUCUCGAAAUGCAAAUAAAGGCAAUCCCUAAGUUGCGUUUAAUGUAUCUUACAGUCUGAUUAAUAUCAGCCAUUAAAUAUCUUCAAUUUCAAUCCAACGGUUGACGUUUAAUUUAUGCAGCAGUAAUAACAAAAGGGAAACCGGCUGAAUUGGUUAGGAAUAACUGAUGGGCAACCGGACCAAAAGGUUUCACCUUUCAUCAUCGUUUGAGAAGGCAAAAAUCACUAAGAAAAGGAGAGGGAAUGAUUUAGGGAUUGUGGAGGAGAAUAGAAAUUUGGUAAAUGUUUGACGAAAUAAGAGAUGGGAUUUGAUCUUAUUAACCAAUUCUAUAGAUCUCCAAACCAUGAGUAAAUUAAGGAAGAAUGAAUAUAGAAAUUAAAGAGGCCAUUAUUGUUGUUGAUCAGCUGCCUGCAGAGAAUUGCAAAUUUCCAGUAAAUUACAUGUAUCGGUAAUUGAUUGAUUAACAAAUGCAAGAAAAUCAAAUUAUACUCAGCAAUUUAUCAUAAAACUAGAAUUAAAACCCUAGAAAUUUAUCUUUCUCUUAAGAAUUUGAGUAGCCAAGAACUCGACUUUGAAAUUGGCUAGCAACAACUGGAGAUCGGAGGAGAGGAUAGAGGUUGCGACCUCCCAAGCAGCGUUGGUUUGUGGAAACUAAAUGAGCCACUAAUUUGCUGUCACCCGGUUACAUGAUUCGGUCUUGUCAUUCAAGAAGUGAACAACUUGCGCCACUUUGAUUUGCAAGUCCAUUUGCAUUAAUUGAAGCCUAGUUUGUAGAAAAUUCGAUGGUGGAUUUUGAGUAGGAUGGUCGUUGGAGGAGAUGCAGCUUCGACUUCUCUUGGUGGUGGACUUUCAGUAGGAUGCUGGUUGGAGGAGAUGCAGCUUCAGCUUCUCUUCGUCAAUGUUUUUUUUAAUUUUAAGAGGUGAGUGAUUCAAUUGUGAAACGAAGUCGUUUAAUCGAUUGCAACCGGCUGCAACAGUCAAUCAUUUGGCUUGACUUUUUCAGUCAACCCGGUCUGCAACCGUUUCAACCAAUUAUGCUUUCUUUCUUUUUUAUCCAUGUGGCAUAUUUUUAUUGGCUAGUUAGUCAAAUCGCAGGCUGUAAGUUACGAAAAUUGUAACUUAGGGGGAUUUGCAAAUAAAACUAAAACAGCUACUGAAAUGCAAUGCAAUAAUGCAUGCACAGAAUAUAAGAACAAAAUGUUACAAACUAAAGAAAUCGAGUUGCACCUGUUGCGGCAUUACGAGUUGAGCAAUUAUUAAUAUUCUUAUAACUGUGACUUCUGGAGAAAUAAAUGUGGUGAUAAAUAAAUAUAAAAAAAUAAGACACAUAAUUUACAUGGUUCAGCGUAAUGUUUACAUUAAUGAGCAAAAACUGGAAGAUAAUUUUACUAACAAAUGAGAAUUUAUAAAAGUGGAAAAAGAUCUCAAAGCCCACAACUUCAAUACACACAAAUGGUUUCUCACUAGAGCACUAAAGUAGAAACUCUCUCAAAUCUCUUAAUUUGCUUCACUUGCAAUUGCUCUCAACUCUCUCAAUUGAGAUGAUUAACAAAUGAAAAAUGACCCUUCUAUUUAUAGAGAUCAUUGUUCACCUACCACAAGUUUCAAUUUAACUUCAAUUUACCAAAUUCACAAAUUAGCAAUUCCUCCUCGAUGUGGAUUCGAUAGAUUAAAUCAUACUCGAAAUUUAAUUAUAUUUGAACCUCUGUGCAAUAUAAACUAAGAUUUUAUUCACUCCAAUAAUGAUUUAGUCUACUCCGAACUCUAUCAAUAAAGCAUCAAAUUUAAGAAAAAGGGAGUAGUAAAAGUCUAUAAAUAAUAUAUUUUCUUCUACGAGAAAUAACACUAGUUUUGCGGCUGCCUCAAUUAAGAGUCAACUUCGAAAUAAUAUUAACAAGAAUAUGCAAUUUCUAAACAAGAAGAAUAAGAAGAAUAAUAAUGUUGAUUAUCUGUUGAGAAAAAUACCAAAAAAAAAAAGGAAGGAACAAAGUUAAACAAUCUUGCAAACAACAACAAUAAUAAUAAUAAUUGUGAUUAUGUGUUCAGAAAAUUGAGAAAAAAAAUUACCUUAACCGCUUUCUCUUAAGUUGAAAACAAUAAUUCAAAUGGACUUAAUACGUUUAAGAUAUUUAUGCACUUGAAAUCUUCGGCUUUGACUUCUGAGAAGGAUCCGAGGUCCGCAUAUAUUGAAAAGAGAUGAUUUUCCCCAUUUAUUUGAAAGCAGGAUUUGAAGGCGUUCAUAAUGAUGAGAGCGCGAAUGAUAAAUUUGAUUUUUUUUUGGAGUCUCCCAAUUGUUUAUAAAUUGAGAAAGAUUAAGGUUUAUCAUUCGCUCUCUCAUCAGUAAAAACACUCUCAAAAUAAAACAAAAUAAUAAUAAUAAUAAUAAUGUCUUCUGAAGUAAAUAAUUCGGAUUAUUCUUUGUUACUCGAAAGCUUCAAAACGAGAAACUAAUUCAUUUUUUUGGAUAGAGGGGAAGUUUUAUUAAUUAAAAGAAAAAUUGAACCAAGUAUUUAAAUGGGUGUAAUGCAUCUAAGCAAAGAGUAGCCUGACU